rnacentral:rRNA from 1 species
UACGGAGGGAGCUAGCGUUGUUCGGAAUUACUGGGCGUAAAGCGUGCGUAGGCGGUUACUCAAGUCAGAGGUGAAAUCCCGGGGCUCAACCCCGGAACUGCCUUUGAUACUGGGUAUCUCGAGUCCGGAAGAGGUGAGUGGAAUUCCGAGUGUAGAGGUGAAAUUCGUAGAUAUUCGGAGGAACACCAGUGGCGAAGGCGGCUCACUGGUCCGGUACUGACGCUGAGGUGCGAAAGCGUGGGGAGCAAACAGG